CUUCUUCUAUCGUAUAUAAAGAAAAAAAAAUUAUUUCUAUUAGAACUCGUAACAAUACUUUUAAAAUCUUACCAGGCUGGUUAAAGUUUUCCAUUUCUUCUCUUUCCAAGUCGAGCUACUACAAUGUAAUAAAAUAUUACAAAGCACAUCGAGUUUAUAUACGUCAACUAAACAUCUGGUCGGGAAACAAUUGGUUUCAAAAGCCUUCUUUUAACACACAUCUGCUUGGGGAAGAACAAAUUUCAAAAGAUUUCUUUUAACCCCUCGGAAAACAAUUGAUUUCAAAAGCUUUCUCUUAACCCCUGUCUAACGGCCAACCAAACAUCUGCUUGGGAAAGAAAUGAUUUCAAAAGCUUUCUCUUAACCCACAUCUGCUUGGAGAAGAACGGAUUUCAAAAGGUUUCUUUUAUCGCCUCGGAAAAGAAUUCUUUUCUUUUAACACCUGUCUAACGGUUCACACACAGCCAAACAUCUGCCAGGUUUCUAGAAAGACUAUAAAAAACGAGCAACAACACUCAAGACCUUACUUCGCUCUAAGAGACCAACUUUUAAGACGCAACUACUACUAACGCUACUACUACUUCUUCACAUUAAUCACAAUAUGGACAUGAUCCAGAAGUUCGAAAGAGGUAAAUUUUUUUUUCUUUAUAAGGAAUUAUUUAGACUAUUUAUUAAUUAUUCAUCAUCGAUUUACAGUUUCAAUCACGGAUAUAGAAGGUUUUUCCUUCAUGACCGGAUAUUCCGCAGAGCUAUUUCCACACUUUCUCUUGAAGACCCGGAGGACGACUACACUACUCACUUCUACACCAUCGAUCCAGCGCACCGCUAUCAUAACUUAUCACCACAAGAAAAGAAAACUAUCAACUUCCAGCGGAGGCUGCACGGUCUUCGAAUAGAAUACGCCCCACUGCAAAGCACACCCGGAUCAACAUGGCGCGAGAAGGACGAGCUGCCUUACCUAAUGCAGCUCGUCUAAAAGAACAACGACGCGAUUCUCUACAAGGAAGGGCAUAUGGAAAGAGACCUGUGCACGAGGUUCGAUAUACAGUACCUUGUAUCGACCUCGAACGCUUGGGGUGCCCAAAAGCGAUUUACAUCGCUGUUAGCUGCCACGAACAUGUGGUUUUCAAGAAUCACUGCAGCCUCUGCGAGGUGACUUCCUACCGAAAAUGGCUCCUACAUCGUCUUCUCACGAUCUAGGAGCCAUUUUCGGUGUCCUAAAUAUCUUAUCUUGUAAAAAUCAUCUUGUAAAUAUCAUCUUAAUACACAUCUUGUAAAUAUCAUCUUGUAAACAUCAUCUUAAUACACAUCUUGUAAAUAUCAUCUUGUAAACAUCAUCUUAAUACACAUCUUGUA
rnacentral:lncRNA from 1 species